rnacentral:rRNA from 1 species
UACGGAGGGUGCAAGCGUUAAUCGGAAUUACUGGGCGUAAAGCGCACGCAGGCGGUCAGAUGAGUCGGAUGUGAAAGCCCUGGGCUUAACCUGGGAACUGCAUUCGAUACUGUCUGGCUAGAGUAUGGGAGAGGGAAGCGGAAUUUCCGGUGUAGCGGUGAAAUGCGUAGAUAUCGGAAGGAACAUCAAUGGCGAAGGCAGCUUCCUGGCCCAAUACUGACGCUCAGGUGCGAAAGCUGGGGGAUCAAACA